rnacentral:rRNA from 1 species
UACGUAGGGUCCGAGCGUUGUCCGGAGUUACUGGGCGUAAAGCGCGCGCAGGCGGCGGUGUUGGCCCGGCGUGAAAGCCCCCGGCUCAACCGGGGAGAGUCGUCGGGGACCGCACCGCUUGAGGGCGGUAGGGGCCGGUGGAAUGCCUGGUGUAGUGGUGAAAUGCGUAGAUAUCAGGAGGAACACCGGUGGCGAAGGCGGCCCUCUGGACGGUGACUGACGCUGAGACGCGAAAGCGUGGGGAGCAAACAGG